rnacentral:lncRNA from 1 species
UAGCGGCCAUCUGUGAUAAAAUCAAAUGGUAUUUCAGAUAACCACCAACUCAAAUAGGAACAUAGAUUACAAAAAUGUAGAAGAAUGUGAGAUAGAAAACUUGAAGGCUUUGUCACACUACCUAGCCAAAGCAUACACAAACAUACGGUCACAUCAGAUGUACACCAAUUCACUAUUUUCUUCUAAAUGACCAUUAUACCCCUCCACCCUCCAAUUCAUAAAAAGUUAUUAUGAUUAAAAACUGAAAUAACAUUGUACUUAUGUUUCUUUGACAAUAUUUGCAACCGAUUAAAGUACAAUGCUAUAAUCUAAGGAAACCUCAUAAAAAUGCUUUAUGUUUCUUCUUGUCCCGAAGUUUAUAUUUCUUUGUCUUUCUUUUAGUCAUUAUGAUCCAUCAUUAAUUUAUAAGUAAUGAAUUUAUAUUUACAAAAGCAGUAAACGUGAUAGAAGUUGAUUAAAACCCAAAUAAGAUUAUAAUGAAAUUAUAAAAAAUAAUAAAUUAUCCAAUGCAUUUAUUGCUACUGCCCAUUAUUACCUCGCCAAUAUACAUGUAUAAACAUUAACAUCAUUCACUCACUAAUCUUGUAACUUUUAAUAAAAGUAAAAUCGUUACCCUUCACAAAAAUUUAUCUAGUUGCAAGAUUCGUUUAUUAUCGACCCUUGAUACACAAAACUUCUUCUUGGUGCAUCAUCAGCUUCUAACUGAACUGAAUCUCAUAUAUCACUAACCAUCAAUCUGUAAACGAAAACAUAAAUCCAAAAAAUCAAAAGUAAGCUUUCAUGAGAAUCAGAAUCUAAUCAAUUUCACUCAAAGCGAGUUGGGUGAAAGCCACAACGUGUGGGAGAACUUCAACAUGGAGACAAAAGCUUCAAGUGGAUUGGAAACACAAAACACAAUCAUACCUGAUGCCAGAAAGAGGAUUGGAGGUCUGAUGAUAAGCAUAUCUAAAAAUAUUAAGGAUUAGAGAAGAGAAAGCAAGUCUGAUGAUGAUAUUGAGCAAAAUAGUAGAUUCGAAACACGAAACAUAAUCACCCCUGAUGUCAGAUAGAGGAUUGGAGAAGAGAAAGGAGGUCUAAUGAUAAGCAUAUCUAAAAAUUAGGGUUGAAACCUGUAGGAUUACUUUCAGCAAAUCGACCAAAUAGGGAAAUUGACAAAAAAAAUUGGAAUGAAUUACCUUUAUAAUGCUAAUUUAUUCAGGAGCUUCGGUGAUCCCUCCUUGAUUUCUCCUUCCCUGAAGUUCAUUGUGACAGAAUCUACACCUUGUUACAAUGAAUAAUAUAACCAUUUGGGAAAAAAAUAACUUGAGUAGUGUGACAUCCCCAAUUUCUCGGCCAGAAAAGACCGGUUUGUUUAUGCUUUAUUUUAAAAUCAGAGUAAUCGUUUAAAGAAAACGGUUGCGGAAUUUGUUCCCAAACAAAAUAUGAUAAAAUUUAUCAAAACGUUCUUCAAAGAGAAUGUAUUUUCAUUAAAUAAUAAAACCUCGGGAUGUCAUGUUCCGAUACAGACCAAAAGCAUAAACAAUAUAAAAUAGACCUUACAACAGUUAUUUGUAACUACUGAUCUAUAAUCCAAAAUCUCUCAUCAAGUCCACCAAUUUAUACUCUUGUGCCAUUACCUGUAAUGCAAAGAAAACUGAGUGGGUCAGGCUUGGGAGCCUGGUGAGCAUGUAGGGUUUUCAACCCACAAUAAUACAUUUAUUAUAUUGAAUUAUCAAACAAUCAACCCAAAUACUCAUUCCCAUUAUCUCCUUUAUUUCUUAAGGAUUUACCCUAAGAAUCAACUAUCCUUUAACCAUUUAUUCCUAAGGAUUGACCUAAGGAAUUGACACAAAGUCCACCACUGCCAAGGUCCACAAAUUACGAUUGGUAAACACUUAGUUCAACAUACUUAACAAACACCUAGUUCUAACACUCCUAGUGAACCAUUAAUUCAAAACAUCUGGUGAAUACUUAGUUCUAAAACACUUAGUGAACACACUCAGUUCAACAACACCAAGUGAACACAUCUAGUUCAAAAAG